UACAGAGGGUGCGAGCGUUGUCCGGAAUCACUGGGCGUAAAGGGUGCGUUGGCGGGUCUUUAAGUCAGGGGUGAAAUCCUGGAGCUCAACUCCAGAACUGCCUUUGAUACUGAAGAUCUUGAGUUCGGGAGAGGUGAGUGGAACUGCGAGUGUAGAGGUGAAAUUCGUAGAUAUUCGCAAGAACACCAGUGGCGAAGGCGGCUCACUGGCCCGAUACUGACGCUGAGGCACGAAAGCGUGGGGAGCAAACAGG
rnacentral:rRNA from 1 species